CCAGGUCGUGAAUCAGGCUGUCAAAGUCCUUCAGGCUGAGUUGACAGUUAAACGGAGCAUCAAAAUCCAUGACGUCUUCCGCAUAGAGCGCUCUGCUACCUCCUGGAAACCAGGCUUCUUUCUUCUCUUCGUCAUCUUCACUGCCUACGAAGAUGUAACGGCACACCCAAAACAAAUCCAACAUUGAGCGAGCCCCGAUAUCAAAAGAGGAACUUGAAGACAGCAAAAGCUCAAAGCAAAGCAUCACGCCUGAUUGUUUACCUUGGUCACUUUCACUUCCUGCCACCUCAUCGUAAUCGGCUUCCUGUCCGGACGGAAGAUGUUGCCCGCAAAUACUCCAGUCGCCAGCGUAGCGGUUGACGGGGGGUGGACUAUCCAGGCGGGCCACACCGUCUCGCCCGCGACGCGACACCACCGCCUCCGCCUCCUCCUCCUCCUCCUCCUCCUCCUCC